rnacentral:rRNA from 1 species
UCGGCCGGCUAAAAGUCGGAGGAAGUGGGGAUGACGUCAAAUCAUCAUGCCCCUUAUGACCUGGGCUACACACGUGCUACAAUGGGCGGUACAAAGGGCUGCGAACCCGCGAGGGGGAGCGAAUCCCAAAAAGCCGCUCUCAGUUCGGAUUGCAGGCUGCAACUCGCCUGCAUGAAGCCGGAAUCGCUAGUAAUCGCGGAUCAGCAUGCCGCGGUGAAUACGUUCCCGGGCCUU